GACGAACGCUGGCGGCGUGCUUAACACAUGCAAGUCGAACGGUGAUGCUCCAGCUUGCUGGCGUGGAUCAUUGGCGAACGGGUGAGUAACACGUGAGCAACCUGCCCCAGACUCUGGAAUAAGCGCUGGAAACGGCGUCUAAUACUGGAUACGAAACUGGCCCGCAUGGGCAUGGUUUGGAAAGUUUUUCGGUUUGGGAUGGGCUCGCGGCCUAUCAGCUUGUUGGUGAGGUAAUGGCUCACCAAGGCGACGACGGGUAGCCGGCCUGAGAGGGCGACCGGCCACACUGGGACUGAGACACGGCCCAGACGCCUACGGGAGGCAGCAGUGGGGAAUAUUGCACAAUGGGCGAAAGCCUGAUGCAGCGACGCCGCGUGAGGGAUGACGGCCUUCGGGUUGUAAACCUCUUUCAGCAGGGAAGAAGCGAAAGUGACGGUACCUGCAGAAGAAGCACCGGCUAACUACGUG
rnacentral:rRNA from 1 species